rnacentral:rRNA from 1 species
UACGUAGGGUGCAAGCGUUAAUCGGAAUUACUGGGCGUAAAGCGUGCGCAGGCGGUUAUGUAAGACAGUUGUGAAAUCCCCGGGCUCAACCUGGGAACUGCAUCUGUGACUGCAUAGCUAGAGUACGGUAGAGGGGGAUGGAAUUCCGCGUGUAGCAGUGAAAUGCGUAGAGAUCAGGAGGAAUACCGAUGGCGAAGGCAGGUCCCUGGGCUGACACUGACGCUCAUGCACGAAAGCGUGGGGAGCAAACAGG